GUGUGUGAAGGGAAUCUGUGAUAUCUGUUACCACAGUGAUUGGGAGAGCUGGCUGGCUAGGUGGGUGUCCACUCCUCCAUGGCUACUCCAUGUGCCUCUCCUAAAGAUGCAUGGUCAGCUGAGGAGAAUGACCAUUCUUCUAUCAUGGGUGUCUUAGUCAGGGUUUUACUGCUGUGAACAGACACCAUGACCAAGGCAAGUCUUAUAAAAAACAACAUUUAAUUGGGGCUGGCUUACAGGUU
rnacentral:sRNA from 1 species